GAUAAACGCUGGCGGCGCACAUAAGACAUGCAAGUCGAACGGAAGUCGUUGUAAUGAUGUUAACAUGAACAGAGAACUUGUUCAAAGGGGAAUGGAGAUUGACUUACAACAAUGGCUUUAGUGGCGGACUGGUGAGUAACACGUAAGCAACCUGCCUAUCAGAGGGGAAUAACAGCGAGAAAUCGUUGCUAAUACCGCAUAUGCCAUAAUGGAGACAUCUCCGUAGUGGGAAAGGAGUAAUCCGCUGAUAGAUGGGCUUGCGUCUGAUUAGCUAGUUGGUGAGGUAACGGCUUACCAAGGCAACGAUCAGUAGCCGGACUGAGAGGUUAAACGGCCACAUUGGGACUGAGAUACGGCCCAGACUCC
rnacentral:rRNA from 1 species